rnacentral:rRNA from 1 species
AGCGAACGCUGGCGGCAGGCUUAACACAUGCAAGUCGAACGCCCCGCAAGGGGAGUGGCAGACGGGUGAGUAACACGUGGGAACGUACCCUUUGGUUCGGAAUAACUUGGGGAAACUCAAGCUAAUACCGGAUAAGCCCUUAUGGGGAAAGGUUUACUGCCGAAGGAUCGGCCCGCGUCUGAUUAGCUAGUUGGUGAGGUAAUGGCGCACCAAGGCGACGAUCAGUAGCUGGUCUGAGAGGAUGAUGAGCAACACUGGGACUGAGACACGGCCCAGACUCCUACGGGAUGCAGCAGUGGGGAAUAUUGGACAAUGGGGGCAACCCUGAUCCAGCCAUGCCGCGUGAGUGAUGAAGGCCUUAGGUUUGUAAAGCUCUUUUACCCGGGACGAUAAUGACUGUACCGGGAGAAUAAGCCCCGGCUAACUUCGUGCCAGCAGCCGCAGUAA